CAGCCGCCACGGUAAUACAGAGGGUGCGAGCGUUAAUCGGAUUUACUGGGCGUAAAGCGUGCGUAGGCGGCUUUUUAAGUCGGAUGUGAAAUCCCUGAGCUUAACUUAGGAAUUGCAUUCGAUACUGGGAAGCUAGAGUAUGGGAGAGGAUGGUAGAAUUCCAGGUGUAGCGGUGAAAUGCGUAGAGAUCUGGAGGAAUACCGAUGGCGAAGGCAGCCAUCUGGCCUAAUACUGACGCUGAGGUACGAAAGCAUGGGGAGCAAACAGGAUUAGAUACCCCAGUAGUCCUUGUCUCUUAUAC
rnacentral:rRNA from 1 species